rnacentral:rRNA from 1 species
UGGUCGAGUCGGUUUGCGCGGAAGAUUUAACGGGGCUAAAACUACAUACCGAAGCUACGGAUCGCAAUUUAUUGCGAUGGUAGGAGAGCGUUCUGUAAGCCGUUGAAGGUGAACUAUGAGGUUUGCUGGAGGUAUCAGAAGUGCGAAUGCUGACAUGAGUAACGAUAAAGGGGGUGAAAAACCCCCUCGCCAGAAGUCCAAGGUUUCCUACGCAACGUUAAUCGGCGUAGGGUUAGUCGGUCCCUAAGGCGAGGCAGAAAUGCGUAGUCGAUGGGAAAUGGGUUAAUAUUCCCAUACUUCAUAUAACUGCGAUGGGAAGACGGAGAAGGUUAACGCAGCUUGGCGCUGGUUGUCCAAGUUCAAGCGUGUAGAGUAGGUUUUUAGGAAAAUCCGGGAAUCUUAGAUUUAGUUCUAAAGCUCAAGGCGUGAUAACGAACCCUCUUUUGGGAAAAGUGCGUGAUACCAUGCUUUCAGGAAAAUCCUCUAAGCUUCAGGUUAUAUGAAACCGUACCCCAAACCGACACAGGUGGACGAGAUGAGAAUUCUAAGGCGCUUGAGAGAACUCGGGUGAAGGAACUAGGCAAAAUGACACCGUAACUUCGGGAGAAGGUGUGCUCUUGCCGGUAAUUUUACUUGCUAAAUGAGCUGAUAAGAGUUGAAGAUACCAGGUAGCUCCGACUGUUUAUUAAAAACACAGCACUCUGCAAACACGUAAGUGGACGUAUAGGGUGUGACGCCUGCCCGGUGCUUGAAGGUUAAUUGAUGAGGUUAGGAUUCGUUCGAAGCUUUUGAUUGAAGCCCAAGUAAACGGCGGCCGUAACUAUAACGGUCCUAAGGUAGCGAAAUUCCUUGUCGGGUAAGUUCCGACCUGCACGAAUGGCGUAACGAGGGCUACACUGUCUCCACCCGAGACUCAGUGAAAUUGAAAUUGCUGUUAAGAUGCAGUAUACCCACGGCCAGACGGAAAGACCCCGUGCACCUUUACUACAGCUUUGCAUUGAACUCGGAUCCUACCUGGGUAGGAUAGGUGGGAGGCUUUGAAACU